AAAGUCUCCAGAGGUUUCCAUUCAGGUUUCCUAAGUGGGACAGGGGCAUAACUCAGCGGGACAGGCAGCAUCUCUGGAGAGAAGGAAUGGGUGAUGUUUCGGGUCGAGACCCUUCUUCAGACUGAGAGUCAAUGCAGGGAUAUGGAGCGGUAAGGGUUUUGAAACUAGACAUCUUAGGGGACGAAGAUUAAAGAAAAUGUAGCAUCGAUGAUUGGUAGCUCGGGGAAGUUGGCAAGGCAGCAUACAAAGAUAACAUUUAAUCAGGAGGACAGUCUGAGAACUAGGACGGGGGGAGGGAUAGAGAGAGUGGGAAAGCAAGGGAGAAGUCAAUAUUCAUACCUCCGAAGGACAUGGAUAGGUGAAUAUUUGGGCCAGGACCCAUCAUCAGUUACUGUAGCACUUUUCUUGCAAAUGAGCAUCUGCAGUUCUUAAUUUCCCCAUUCAAUGCAGCGUGGUCACUUCUGAGUAAUUUUAUGGAAUGUUUUAACUUUUGAAAUCAAGUGCUGGAGUAACUCAGCGGGUCAGGCAGCAUCUCUGGGGAACAUGGAUAGGUGACGUCUUGGGUCGAAACUCUUCUUCAAACCGAGUUACUCUAGCAGAUUGUUUUUUUGGGGGGUAAACCAGCACCUGCAGUUCCUCGCUUCGCCAUUCACUGUAGAGUGGUCACGGAGUCAUUUUAUGGAAUAUGUACAUUUGAAGUCAAGAGUUCGGACAAUGUCUCUGUGAUAAAAUUCACCCUUGGAACUGAUCCAUUGUUAUUCCCCAUGGAGUGAGGGGUUUAUCAGCUUUGUCAGAACCAGUUUAAAAAAUAAAUCUUUGAUGCCAAAGCUUUUCCAGUGUAUCGUGCUAUGUGUGGAAUAAUAAACCAGUAACAAUAAAUUGAAGACACAAAGUGCUGAAGUAACUCGGACGGGCCAGGCAGCAUCUCUGGAGAAAAAGGAUGGGUCAUGUUUCGUGUCGGGACGCUUUAGACAGCAGGAGCAACGAGGUCCUUCUGCAGUUGUACAGGGCCAAAGUGAGACAACACCUGGAGUAUUGUGUGCAGUUUUGGUCCCCUAAUUUGAGGAAGGAUAUCCUUGCUAUUGAGGGGGUGCAGCGUAGGUUGACAAGGUUAAUUCCCGGGAUGGCGGGACUGUCAUAUGCUGAGAGAAUGGAGCAGCUGGGCUUGUACACUCUGGAGUUUAGAAGGAUGCGAGGGGAUCUUAUUGAAACAUAUAAGAUUAAGGGUUUGGACUCACUAGAGGCAGGAAACAUGUUCCCGAUGUUGGGGGAGUCCAGAACCAGGGGCCACAGUUUAAGAAUAAGGGGUAAGCCAUUUAGAACGGAGACGAGGAAACACUUUUUCUCACAGAGAGUGGUGAGUCUGUAGAAUUCUCUGCCUCUGAGGGCGGUGGAGGCCGGUUCUCUGGAUGCUUUCAAGAGUCAAGUGAUAUGGGGAGAAGGCAGGCACGGGUUGAUACGGGACGAUCAGCCAUGAUCACAAAGAAUGGCGGUGCUGGCUUGAAGGGCCGAAUGGCCUCCUCCUGCACCUAUUUUCUAUGUUUCUAUAGCUAGAUAGGGCUCUUAAAGAUAGCGGAGUCAGGGGAUAUGGAAAGAAGGCAGGAACGGAGUACUGAUUGGGGAUGAUCAGCCAUGAUCACAAUGAAUGACGGUGCUGGCUCGAAGGGCCGAAUGGCCUACUCCUGCACCUAUUGUCUAUUGUUAUGAUGAACCGUGUCAGCAGCAAUUAAAUUUAUAAGGUACAUUCCAAUAUCGCCCUGAAUUACUUGAAAACUGAUGUUACAAAAUGACUAAUGGCUAAGGAGAUCAGAGGGUAUGGAGAGAAGGCAGGAACGGGGUACUGAAUGUGGAUGAUCAGCCAUGUUCACAUUGAAUGGCGGUGCUGGCUCGAAGGACCAAAUGGCCUACUCCUGCACCUAUUGUCUAUUGACUGAUUUUCGUGACAUUUACAAGGAACCAAGCAAGCGUUCAAUAACACCAGAAACAAAUAAUUAAAACAUGAACUUUAUUGGUUGGUAUGGUUAGGCAUUCUGUUCUUAAGAUAGUGAAGUGUUUAGACACCCCACCAUAUCAGGGUAAAGCAGGCAUCCAAAAAAAUGCUUCAGGUUCUACACAUUACGUCACACUUUGGCAAGUGAAGAGCAUGGGGGUCUGAACUAAGCACUUCCAAAACACUUUAUAAAAUUACACUUUUUUCUUCAUUUGUCCUCCCCCAAUCCUCCAAUUACAUUUUUGGCCAUACUUAAAGUUAAUGGCUUGCAAGUUCUCCUUUAAGGCACUUUAAUCCAAAUCCAAUUCAAGCCUCAAUAUAGUGCAAAUCCUGAUCACCCAUACCCGGAUGACAGCGAGAUAAUCUGCAGGUACAUCUACAAGGUACUGUACAGUGAACAUUUCAGUGCAAUACAUUAAAG